rnacentral:rRNA from 1 species
UGGGGAAUAUUGCACAAUGGAGGAAACUCUGAUGCAGCAACGCCGCGUGGAGGAUGACGCAUUUCGGUGUGUAAACUCCUUUUAUAAGGGAAGAUAAUGACGGUACCUUAUGAAUAAGCACCGGCUAACUCCGUGCCAGCAGCCGCGGUAAUACGGAGGGUGCAAGCGUUACUCGGAAUCACUGGGCGUAAAGGAUGCGUAGGCUGGAAAUCAAGUCGAGAGUGAAAUCCAACGGCUCAACCGUUGAACUGCUCUCGAAACUGAUUACCUAGAAUAUGGGAGAGGUAGAUGGAAUUGGUGGUGUAGGGGUAAAAUCCGUAGAUAUCACCAGGAAUACCGAUUGCGAAGGCGAUCUACUGGAACAUUAUUGACGCUGAGGCAUGAAAGCGUGGGGAGCAAACA